UGGGGACCGCUCAGCAUGAGUAGGACUUCUUAAUUUGUGAUCGCGGUGACGACUUCUAUCCCAAUUCCUAUCAUCUGGGGAUCUUUCAUGAUCAUGUGGAGAUUUCUCGUGACUACUAUAUGGCGAUCUGUCACGGCCAUAGGGUGACUUCUCACGGCUAUAUUGGGAUUUGUCACGGCCAUAGGGUGAGCGACGGGCAGGAGCGUGAUCUUUAUUAUCAUAAUAUCUAGCUCGGUCACGUGGCGAUCGUUCAGAAUGACCAGGACUGCAUCCCCGGUUAUCAUAGGGUGACCUCUCACAGCUAUAUGGAGAUCUGUCACGGCCAUAGGGUGAGCAACGGGCAGGGUUGUGAUCUUUAUUAUCAUAAUAUCUAGCUCGGUCACGUGGCGAUCGUUCAGAAUGACCAGGACUGCAUCCACGCUUAUCAUAAGGUGACUUCUCACGGCUAUAUGGAGAUCUGUCACGGCCAUAGGGUGACCGACGAGGAUCAU
rnacentral:lncRNA from 1 species